rnacentral:rRNA from 1 species
UCGAACGGUGAUGAGGAGCUUGCUUCUCUGAUCAGUGGCGAACGGGUGAGUAACACGUGAGCAAUCUGCCCUUGACUCUGGGAUAAGCGUUGGAAACGACGUCUAAUACCGGAUACGACCUUGGAAGGCAUCUUCUGGGGUGGAAAGAAUUUUGGUCAAGGAUGAGCUCGCGGCCUAUCAGCUAGUUGGUGAGGUAAUGGCUCACCAAGGCGACGACGGGUAGCCGGCCUGAGAGGGUGACCGGCCACACUGGGACUGAGACACGGCCCAGACUCCUACGGGAGGCAGCAGUGGGGAAUAUUGCACAAUGGGCGAAAGCCUGAUGCAGCAACGCCGCGUGAGGGACGACGGCCUUCGGGUUGUAAACCUCUUUUAGUAGGGAAGAAGCGUAAAAGUGACGGUACCUGCAGAAAAAGCACCGGCUAACUACGUGCCAGCAGCCGCGGUAAUACGUAGGGUGCAAGCGUUGUCCGGAAUUAUUGGGCGUAAAGAGCUCGUAGGCGGUUUGUCGCGUCUGCUGUGAAAACCCGAGGCUCAACCUCGGGCCUGCAGUGGGUACGGGCAGACUAGAGUGCGGUAGGGGAGAUUGGAAUUUCCUGGUGUACGGUGGAAUGCGCAGAUAUCAGGAGGAACACCAAUGGCGAAGGCAGAUCUCUGGGGCCGUAACUGACGCU